CGGUCGGGUAGGUAGUAGUAGUGGUAGUUAAUUCGAUGCAACGCGAAAACCUUACCCACCUUUGACAUGGCAGGAAUCCCGAAGAGAUUGGGAGUGCUCGAAAGAGAACCUGCACACAGGUGCUGCAUGGCUGUCGUCAGCUCGUGUCGUGAGAUGUUGGGUUAAGUCCCGCAACGAGCGCAACCCUUGCCAUUAGUUGCUACGAAAGGGCACUCUAAUGGGACUGCCGGUGACAAACCGGAGGAAGGUGGGGAUGACGUCAAGUCCUCAUGGCCCUUAUAGGUGGGGCUACACACGUCAUACAAUGGCCGGUACAGAGGGUAGCCAACCCGCGAGGGGGAGCCAAUCCCACAAAGCCGGUCGUAGUCCGGAUCGCAGUCUGCAACUCGACUGCGUGAAGUCGGAAUCGCUAGUAAUCGCGGAUCAGCAUGUCGCGGUGAAUACGUUCCCGGGUCUU
rnacentral:rRNA from 1 species